UAGUCAUAUGCUUGUCUCAAAGAUUAAGCCAUGCAUGUCUAAGUAUAAGCAAUUUAUACAGUGAAACUGCGAAUGGCUCAUUAAAUCAGUUAUCGUUUAUUUGAUAGUUUCUUUACUACAUGGAAUACCUGUGGUAAUUCUAGAGCUAAUACAUGCUUAAAAUCCCAACUUACGAAGGGAUGUAUUUAUUAGAUAAAAAAUCAAUGUCUUCGGACUUCUGAUGAUUCAUAAUAACUUUUCGAAUCGCAUGGCUUUAUGCUGGCGAUGGUUCAUUCAAA
rnacentral:rRNA from 1 species